AGAGUUUGAUCCUGGCUCAGAAUCAACGCUGGCGGCGCGCUUAACACAUGCAAGUCGCACGAGAAAGGGGAGCAAUCCCUAAGUAAAGUGGCGUACGGGUGAGUAACACGUGGAUCAUCUACCUUUUAGUGGGGAAUACCCCCGGGAAACUGGGGACAAUACCGCAUAAGCUCGGAAGAGGAAAGCCGAAAGGCGCUGAAAGAGGAGUCCGCGGCUGAUUAGCUAGUUGGUGAGGUAACGGCCCACCAAGGCGAAGAUCGGUAGCCGGCCUGAGAGGGCACACGGCCACACUGGCACUGAAACACGGGCCAGACUCCUACGGGAGGCAGCAGUGGGGAAUCUUGCACAAUGGGGGAACCCCUGAUGCAGCGACGCCGCGUGAGUGAUGAAGCCCCUCGGGGUGUAAAGCUCUUUCGACGGGAAAGAUUAUGACGGU
rnacentral:rRNA from 1 species